CCCUAUUAUGAAGAUAAUAUUAAAAAUUAGUAUAAUAUUGAAAUUUAAUAGUUUUGGUGGUUAAAUUAUUAAUUAGAGAGGCUUGUCAAGUGGAAUUAGCUCUUUAUAUUUUAUUAAUAAAAGUUAGGUUUAUUCAUCUCCGUUAGAAAUAGAAAAGUUUAAAAUUUUUAAAAUAAAAUUUCAGGUCAAGAUGUAAUUUUUAUUAAAAGAGAUUAGUCAUGUUUAUGAAAUAAAUGGAAGAAGGAUUAAUUUUUAGAGAUUAAUAAUUAGGGAAAGAAUUGGAAUUAAAUUUAAUUGUAAUAUAAAUUAGAAAAUUAAUAUGAAACUUUUAUAGUUAAUGUA
rnacentral:rRNA from 1 species